AUUGAACGCUGGCGGCAAGCUUAACACAUGCAAGUCGAGCGGUAACAGAGAGAAGCUUGCUUCUCUGCUGACGAGCGGCGGACGGGUGAGUAAUGCCUAGGAAUCUGCCUAGUAGUGGGGGAUAAUUGGCGGAAGGGUAAGCUAAUCCCGCAACCGUCCUACGGGAGAAAGGAGGGGACCUCGGGGCCUUUCGUAUUGAGGUGGGCUUAGGUCGGUUUAGUUAGUUGGUGAGGUAAUGGCUCACCAAGACCGCGAUCCGUAACUGGUCUGAGAGGAUGAUCAGUCACACUGGAACUGAGACACGGUCCAGACUCCUACGGGAGGCAGCGGUGGGGAAUAUUGGACAAUGGGGGGAACCCUGAUCCAGCCAUGCCGCGUGUGUGAAGAAGGUCUUAGGAUUGUAAAGCACUUUAAGUUGGGAGGAAGAGCAGUUAACUAAUAUUUGACUGUUUUGACGUUACCGACAGAAUAAGCACCGGCUAACUUCAUGCCAGCAGCCGCCGUAA
rnacentral:rRNA from 1 species